UGGAGAGGCCCAGAGGCAGGAGGAGGCUAAAGAACAGUGAGGAGGUGGAGAAGAGGAGGCUCUGGGGGCUGCCGGGAGACAGAGGGUCCCAAUGACCUGGCAAAGGUAGACUGGUGUCAAGUGGAAUGGGAAGUAGAGGGAUGCAGAUCAAAGGGGCCCCGGCAGGGUCUAGAAGACUAAGUAUCAUUUCACUCCUCCCUGUACCUACUGUGUUCCAGGGGCUGGUCUGAAAUGCAGAGAAGGGAUACAGUCCUGUUCCUGGAGUAGUUCACAGCUGUGAAGGGCAGAGACAGGGCAGGACCCCAGAAUAUGGACCCCUGGCACAGGCUGGAAGGUGCAGGAGUAGUGGUUGGUGACCUGGAGAUGGUAGGACCCAGCUGAAUGUAUCCAGAGGGAGAAGUGGCAGACAUCCAAGUAGAGAAGGGGUCGGGGAGACCCAGGGAGCAGAGCAGCCAUGCAAAGGUGGAGAGGCAGGAGAGAGCCAGAGGGCUUGCUGGAGCUGCGGUGAGUACAAGCGUGUGUAUCGAAAUGCACAGAACAGCAAGAAGUGAGACAAGGCUGUCUAGGCAGGUAUAAAGCACUUGCCUUGCCAAAUGCCCUGUGUGCUCUGCUGUGAAUACUUGGAUGCAGUGGAGCACAUUCAGAUGACAGAGAGUGACAAGGUUGGGGAAGAAAACAGAGAAGUGUGCCCUUGGCUGAGGACAAGAAUCUGCAUGAUGUUUUCUUUGACCUUGAGAAUGCCUUUUGCUUGCCCUGCAGAGCAGGAGAGGAGCUGGAACUUUCCCGUUUGGCUCUGUCAGCCAAGUGCAGCUUUCAAGUUCUCUAGGGACUGCUGUAUUUUCUCAUGAGUGAGUCAAAUGCUCAAUCUGAGGCCUGGGAGACAGGGUGGAGGAGGGGAGUGGGGAAGGGGACACCAGCAUCUACCUUCGGUUGGGAGAAUUAGGCUGAAGCCUGCCUGGGCUACUGGUAUGUGUCCUUAGGCCACCAACACCAUUAUCAUCUCAAUAAACAGCAUAUGCAGUGUGCUGGGUUGAUAGCGUUUCUCUCAGGUUCCGACUUCAGAUCUCCGGCUCCUCUUUCACUGGACGGAUUCCAAAUACUACAACUCCCUGUGUGACAGCUGGAGAAUCACUGCACCUUUCUGGGCCCCAUUGAGUGACAGAAGAUCGGAAUGGAUAGUCACAUGCCUGCCCCAGCGUGGAAGGAGAAGAGCCUAUACUUCCAUCCAUUCUGGCCUCUUCCAAGUUCCCCUCAUUUUUCUCUCUAAGAUCAAAUAAAUAAACAUGUUGUUAUUCUUUU
rnacentral:lncRNA from 1 species